AGUCAGAGGGGAGGUCACAGGCCGCCUGUGAUGUUGCAAAGGACUUUCAGUUCCAGGCCCCAGAAUAGACCUGAGAUGUGUGUUCGCAAGUGCUGAGCCAUCUGGACAGCCCCUGCCCAGCGCUCCACACGCUGCACAGCACACAGCUCCAGUGUCUCUCAACUUCUCCAUCACCAGUAUUGUUCAAGAGGCAUUUCCCAAAUAGAUGCUGCUUUUAGAAAUAACUAUGGCUUCAGUUACAGAGUUCCAGUCACUUUUUUUUUUGGUACCGGGAAUCGAACUCAUGACCUCAGGCUUGCCAGUGGAAAAAUCCUCAGGGCUGAAGGGAAGAUGGGCCAGAGGAGCUCAGCUGAGGAAACGCAGCGCUGGAGCAGGUGGGAUGUGCAUGAGGGUGAGCAGAUGUGACCACCAGCCCAGCCCAGGAAGCCAUGCAGGAGUACCAGGAAUUGAACUCACGACCUCGCACUGGCCAGGAAG